rnacentral:rRNA from 1 species
GAUGAACGCUAGCGGCAGGCCUAAUACAUGCAAGGCGAGGGGUUAGCAAUAACACCGUCGUACGGGUGCGUAACGCGUAUGCAACCUACCUAUCACCGGGGGAUAGCCUUUGGAAACAGGGAUUAAUACCGCAUAAAUACUGAUAGUCAGCAUUGGUUUUCAGUUAAAGAUUUAUUGGUGAUAGAUGGGCAUGCGUCUGAUUAGUUAGAUGGUGAGGUAACGGCUCACCAAUGACGAUGAUCAGUAGGGGGCGUCAGAGCGUGGUCCCCCACACUGGCACUGAGAUACGGGCCAGACUCCUACGGGAGGCAGCAGUAGGGAAUAUUGGGCAAUGGAUGCAAGUCUGACCCAGCCAUGCCGCGUGCAGGAAGAAGGUCCUCUGGAUUGUAAACUGCUUUUGUCGGGGAAGAAUAGGUCUUUGCGGAGGGAUUGUGGACCGGUACCGAUAGAAUAACGCCACGGCUAAACUACGUGCCAGCGACGCC